rnacentral:misc_RNA from 1 species
AACAAGGCGUACCUGCGGACCUGCGGAGGGAUCAUUACACAAUACAAUAUGAAGGCUGUCCGCAGCUGGAGUAUUUUAUUACCCUUGUCUUUUGCGCACUUGUUGUUUCCUGGGCGGGUUCGCUCGCCACCAGGACCACCAAAUAAACCUUUUUUAUGCAGUUGCAAUCAGCGUCAGUACAAACAAUGUAAAUCAUUUACAACUUUCAGCAACGGAUCU